rnacentral:SRP_RNA from 1 species
GCCAGGCGUGGUGGCGCAUGCCUGUAAUCCCAGCUACUUGGGAGGCUGAGGCAGGAGAAUCGCUUGAACCCGGGAGGCGGAGGUUGCAGUGAGCCGAGACUAUACCACUGCACUCCAGCCUGGGCAACAGAGUAAGACUCUGUCUCAA